rnacentral:lncRNA from 1 species
UCCUUAGCGACGCGGGCGCCCGCCUGAUUCCGUCACUCGGACUCCGGGUGCUCUCAGUGGCCUACGCAUCGCCAGUCCUGACAACAGCCUAGCAACAACUGGCUAGAGGCUAUGCCCACCUAGACCCCUUUGAGGUCAUGGGAUCACGGAGCCAGAAAUGCCUGUAGAGCAAUCUAGAUUUGAGGGGGAUGACAUUUGAACUGCGAUCUGAAGGGACAAGAGGAAGGUUUAGGCCAGCAUGUCUGGAGUAUGGUGCAAGAGAGAGAAAGAAGUGAAGAUGAGAUUGGAGAAGGAGCAAAGAGCCAGGUCAUGUAGGACAGUAUAGCUCAAGGCCAAAUAAUACCCACCUGUGAGUCCAGUGUGACUGAUGAGCCAACGGUCUGCAACCUCAAAACAGAAAGAAGGAGGAGGGUCCAAGAUCUUGCCAACACUAAGAUGUCAGAGGAGUAGGAUCCAGCCAUCAAAGAAUGUUCAGAACCCACUGAACAGACAGAGGGAAAACCAAGAGUGUGAUAUUCCUCAAGACAAAAGAAGAAAGCGGCAGGAAGAAGCUGAAUGGUCAGCUUUGUAGGCUGCUGACAAGAGUUUGGGUAAGGUGAGGACACACAAAUGUCCAUUUGAUGUGACAUCAUGAGUAUUGGUUGGUAACCUCAACUAGAGAAGUUUCUGUAGAUCUCUGGUAUGGAAUCCUGUCUGAAGAAGAUUGAAGAAUUAAUGUGAGAUAUGAAAGUAAAAAGAGCAGGGCAAUUACCCUCUUCAGAAGUUUUUCUGAGAAAGAGGAGAAUAAAACCGGGGCUGUGCUAUUAAGGGGAUAUGAGGUUUUGGAAGGAAUUCUUAAAGAUAAGUUUAUUAGUAUGUUCUCAUGCCUGUAAUAAAGACAUA